GGGGAGAUCCAUAUGUCUCCUUCUUGAGCC
rnacentral:piRNA from 1 species